GCCGGAGUGGCGGAAUUGGCAGACGCGCACGACUCAAAAUCGUGUACCUUCGGGUAUGUGGGUUCAAUUCCCACCUUCGGCACAA
rnacentral:tRNA from 1 species